AUGGAUUUUCACUUGGAGCACAAGCAAGGGGAGGAAGGGAAGAAUCGCGGCAGUGCCCCCAGGAGAGGCGUAACACUAGCAGGCAUCACCGCUAUUGAUGCCAAAGUGUUGAGCUUUUGCUUGGUAUAUUCCCCGUCCCAGGCCCCGCCUGCCUCGCCCGCCGCCGUUCGUUUUGCGGGCCGACCCGUCCUUGCCUUCGCUUUGAGGCGGUGUGUUUGCCGUGUCGCCGAGUUGAUCUUUCGGGUGGCCACCUAUUUCCGAUCCUCCACCUCUGUCGUCUCUGUUGCAGCUUGGAAACUUGGACGAGUGAGGACCUCCUAUGGAGAGGGCGACGUAUGCUUCUUUCAUCCAUCCAUGUCGACGGCGCUCCCUCCCUCCGCGUCCGCGUCCGCAUCCGCAUGCAUACAUAUACGAGUGACCUGGGGAUGGAACGGACCGCAUCUUCACUCACCGAGCCACACGCAUGUCAUGGACCCGUUCCACGGCAUACUCAUCGCGGCGGCCAUCCUCGUGCUGUUCCUCAUCUUCGUCGCCUUCCCGCUCAGCUUCCUCCGCUACUACUUCAGCACCAGCGUCGCCGAGGUGCCCGCGCCGAGGGGCGUCGGCACGGAGCUGCUGGGCUCGCUGCCGGUCACGGUGUACCGCACGGAGGACCACGUCGGGGUGCUGGAGUGCGCGGUGUGCCUGGCCGGGCUCCAGGACGGGGAGCAGGCGAGGUUCCUGCCCUGCUGCGGCCACGGGUUCCACGCCGGGUGCAUCAGCGCGUGGCUGGCGUCCCGCCCCACCUGCCCGCUCUGCCGGGUCACCGUCGUCGGCAAGCUUCCCGACGCGCUUACAUCGACGAGUCUCCCUCCCACACCGCAGGAGCCCGCGAAUUACGCCGGGAACCUGCCGGCGAGUGUGCUGAUGCUCGGGGUUUCAGACCAGGCCACGCUCGGCGCGGUGACCGUGGCCUCUGAUGGAGAGGCCGCUCCGCCCUUGCAACGGCAGCGGUGCUGGUGA
rnacentral:rRNA from 1 species